UAAAUCUAAUUAUAUCCAACCAAAUGCCAGAAUUUGUUUUUCAUAAGACCAAUAAUUUAAAAGAAAAAAAAAAAAAAAAUCAACGGUAAGAUUCCCAUUUAGUUUCAAAUUAUUUCUUGUUCAAUGUCAAUUCCUAAAAAAUGCUUUUGUUUGGUUCAAAAAUAUUCUAUUUCGAUUUACAUUCCAUCCGGAUGGAGUCAGAAAUUGGUUUUCAAGUUGAAAUCUCAUUUCUACUUUAUUAGAGUUGAAGGAUAUACCCUUUAGACAAAAAAGACCCUACCAAAGAUCAAAAUUUUAUACUUUUAAAACAAUGAAUAUUGACCAUCUGAGUCUUUCCACCCAUUUUGGAAAAUCGUAUAAACAAUAUAUAUAUAUAUAAACAUUCACUUGAUUAGGCUCUAGACAAAUAUUUUUUGAGAAUUUUUUUUUGAAAAUGAACUAAUAACAUUUAGGCAGUCUACCAACUCUUAUAUGUUCAUGAAGUACCUAAUUAUUAAUUAUUUUAUUUAGAUUACUUUGACGUACUUGUGAUUUUAACUUCGCUAUGCUGUUUAUAAAAAGUAAAUGUAAGUAUUGAUGUUAUAUAUGUAUACAUAGUAUUCAUACAAGUGGCUAAGUAGAAUGAAUUUUAGUAAUCAAGAAGAACUGAUACCUUAGUAAAAGUUCAAAUGCAGUAGAUGAAAAUUAGUCCCAUAUUUUAUUCCUUCAUCGCUAAGAGCAAUACAUACAAGACAACGGUUGAGGAGGUGCAGCCCAUGAGAAAAGCAGUACGUGUGCCCCACAUAUAUAUAUAUAUAUAUAUAUAUUUGUAUAUACAUCGAAAUAGGUACACUUUUCUGAUGAUUAUUAUUGACCAAGUUCAUGUGCUUGGUGGGUGGUCGAGAGUAUGAUCAGGACCAUCCUGCAGGUAAAGAGGACGAUUUGACAGAGCAGCCAAGAAAUAUAUAUCAUCAAUGGAGUAAAAUUUUGGCUGUAUAGUCAUGUAUACAUAUCGCUGACAUACUCACGAAGUUGUACUCACUAUAUUUAUAUACAUAUGUACCUCAAUUUUAUAAAUAUUGUCU
rnacentral:lncRNA from 1 species